GUAAAUAUAGUUUGAACAAAACACUAGAUUGUGAAUCUAACAACAGAGACUAACACCCUCUUAUUUACC
rnacentral:tRNA from 1 species